rnacentral:rRNA from 1 species
UACGUAGGUGGCAAGCGUUAUCCGGAAUUAUUGGGCGUAAAGCGCGCGCAGGUGGUUCCUUAAGUCUGAUGUGAAAGCCCACGGCUCAACCGUGGAGGGUCAUUGGAAACUGGGGAACUUGAGUGCAGAAGAGGAAAGUGGAAUUCCAAGUGUAGCGGUGAAAUGCGUAGAGAUUUGGAGGAACACCAGUGGCGAAGGCGACUUUCUGGUCUGUAACUGACACUGAGGCGCGAAAGCGUGGGGAGCAAACAGG